ensembl:lncRNA
AUAGAUAGAUAGAUAGAUAGAUAGAUAGAUAGACGGGUGAACAGAUAGACGAGUAAGUAGGUAGCUAGUUAGCUAGCUAGCUAGCCUAGAUAGAUAGAUAGAUAGAUAGAUAGAUAGAUAGACAAGUAAUAUGUAGCUAGACAGAUCAAUAGACAGACACACUGAUAGAUAGAUAGAUAGAUAGAUAGAUAGAUAGAUAGACAAGUAAGUAUGUAGCUAGACAGAUCAAUAGACAUACACACUGAUAGAUAGAUAGAUAGAUAGAUAGAUAGAUAGAUAGAUAGAUAGACAAGUAAUAUGUAGCUAGACAGAUCAAUAGACAUACACACUGAUAGAUAGAUAGAUAGAUAGAUAGAUAGAUAGACAGACGGGUGGACAGAUAGACGAGUAAGUAGGUAGCUAGUUAGCUAGCUAGCCUAGAUAGAUAGAUAGAUAGACAAGUAAUAUGUAAGCUAGACAGAUCAAUAGACAGACACACUGAUAGAUAGAUAGAUAGAUAGAUAGAUAGAUAGAUAGAUAGAUAGAUAGAUAGAUAGACAAGUAAGUAUGUAGCUAGACAGAUCAAUAGACAUACACACUGAUAGAUAGAUAGAUAGAUAGAUAGAUAGAUAGAUAGAUAGACAGACGGGUAGAUAGAUAGAUAGAUAGAUAGAUAGAUAGAUAGAUAGAUAGAUAGAUAGAUAGAUAGAUAGAUAGAUGGAUGGAUGAUAGAUAGAUAGAUAGAUAGAUAGAUAGAUAGAUAGAUAGAUG